rnacentral:rRNA from 1 species
UACGUAGGUGGCGAGCGUUACUCGGAUUUACUAGGCGUAAAGCGUGUGUAGGCGGGAGCUUAAGUCUGCCGUUAAAUCCCAGAGCUUAACUCUGGACUGUCGGCGGAUACUGGGCUUCUUGAGUAGGGUAGGGGAAACUGGAAUUCCAGGUGUAGCGGUGAAAUGCGUAGAUAUCUGGAAGAACGCCAAAGGCGAAGGCAGGUUUCUGGGCCUUUACUGACGCUGAGACACGAAAGCUAGGGGAG